rnacentral:rRNA from 1 species
CGCGUAGGUGGUUUAGUCAGUCAGAUGUGAAAGCCCUGGGCUUAACCUGGGAAUUGCAUUUGAUACUGCCAGACUAGAGUAUGGUAGAGGGAAGUGGAAUUCCGGGUGUAGCGGUGAAAUGCGUAGAUAUCCGGAGGAACAUCAGUGGCGAAGGCGGCUUCCUGGACCAAUACUGACACUGAGGUGCGAAAGCGUGGGUAGCAAACA